rnacentral:rRNA from 1 species
UAGGGAAUAUUGCAAAAUGGGCGAAAGCCCGAUGCAGCAACGCCGCGUGGGCGAUGAAGGCCUUCGGGUCGUAAAGCCCUCUUUGAGGGGAUGAGGAAGGACAGUACCCUCAGAAUAAGCCUCGGCUAACUACGUGCCAGCAGCCGCGGUAAAACGUAGGAGGCGAGCGUUAUCCGGAUUUACUGGGCGUAAAGCGCGUGCAGGCGGAUUGGAGAGUUGGAUGUGAAAGCUCCCGGCUUAACUGGGAGAGGUCGUUCAAUACUUCCAGUCUUGAGUGCAGUAGAGGGAAGUGGAAUUCCCGGUGUAGUGGUGAAAUGCGUAGAUAUCCGGAGGAACACCAGUGGCGAAAGCGGCUUCCUGGACUGUAACUGACGCUCAGACGCGAAAGCUAGGGUAGCAAACG